UUGCAUGUAGUAGAAUUUUAAUACGUCGGGCUUAGGUUCCGAAAGAGGGCAUUUGCCUCGUGCAAU
rnacentral:tRNA from 1 species